rnacentral:rRNA from 1 species
UACGGAGGGGGCGAGCGUUAUUCGGAAUUAUUGGGCGUAAAGAGCUCGUAGGCGGUUUGUCGCGUCUGCUGUGAAAUCCCGAGGCUCAACCUCGGGUCUGCAGUGGGUACGGGCAGACUGGAGUGUGGUAGGGGAGACUGGAAUUCCUGGUGUAGCGGUGGAAUGCGCAGAUAUCAGGAGGAACACCGAUGGCGAAGGCAGGUCUCUGGGCCACUACUGACGCUGAGAAGCGAAAGCAUGGGGAGCGAACAGG